CAGGCUUACUUGGAGCUGGAGGGCGGGUCUUCUCAGGAGUCGAGCAUGGUCAUUGGUGAAGCCAGCCGGAAGAGGUGGGCAGGAAGGCGGUACGCCACGGCUUCCGGUGGGCUGCCUGAGGAGGGGAGCGAGAGGCGACGGCCGCGGGGACGCUCAGGGCGGGGCUCGAAGCACGGAAACGGCCCCCAGCUUCGCGUCCCCACCUCCAUCUCGGUGCACAGCAGCCUGCCUUCUGGGUCCUGGGCGGGGCCAAAGCCCCGCAGUUUGCUGGGUUGGUCUCGAAUCUGGCCGCCUCCAGCCGCUCCCACCCAUUGCCCGGCCCACCGUGUUCCACAGCCCGUGAGUGUGACUGGGAUGAUUCUCUGUGAAGCCCGGAUCCUGCCCCCUUCCCCCCGCCCCACACGGAGUAACAAGGGAGAGGUGUGGCCCGCUGGGAGGGAAUCUUGCCCAGGCACUCCUGUUCUCCAGGACCGCCUAUGGUUGCAGCCCUCAGUGCCUGCUGCCUGCCUCUUCCCUGGAGGUCCAGGGCUGGGAAAAGCCACGAGGCUGGUGGUUCUCGCGAGAUCUGGGGCUUCCCAUUGAGCAGUCGUCACCCUUCCCUGCCUGAAGCCGAAGGAGGGGCUAUCCACAGCCCAGGCAGGAUCAGGUGUCAGGUGUGGUCAGCCUUCUCUCGCUGGUGGGAAGCCACUGCCUUUCCUGCCACACGUUCCUCACCAAGAGGAUCUCCCAGCUCCUGGGUGAUGCUGCCCAGACCUCCUCAACACCCAGCGCCAUCACCCACUUCUUUGGCCAGUCGUUGCCGAGGCUUGUCUGUCUUUGGCUCCAGGAUGGCCCGCCAUCCAGUUGGAGCCACAGAUGAAAAGCAAUGCCAGUGUCCAGCUGCCCCAUGUGCCCAGAACCAGCAGCUCUGGAACCCCAGCCCCCGAGUACAUUCUUGGAGUCAUUUCAGGGCGGUGGGGUGGCGCUUUGGUUGGCAUUUUCCAAGGCCCUCUCCUGCACCCUUUUCCUUUGGGUCACUGGUCUUUUCUUAUUGACUGGUUCAAGUUCUCUAUACAUUAAUGAUAUGAGCCCUGAGUCACAUCUUGGUACUAUUUUUUGGCCCACUUUGUCACUUGUCUCUUGACUUUGUGGUUUGGGGUUUGUGUUUGACUAGGCAGACGAUCUUAGAGUUUGUGUCACCAGACUUUCCAGGGUCUUCCUAUUGGUUUCUGGGGUUUCUUGUCAGUUUGUUUGCUCCCAAUUGACUUACAGUGAUCUUCUCUAUUUAAAGUCAUCGUGUAUAAAUUACCCAUUGCUGAAUAACAAGGGGCUACCCAGGUGAAGGUAGCGUAAAAACCUGCCUGUCAACACAGGAGACAGAAGAGAUGUGGGUUGCGAAGAUCCCCUGGAGAAGGAAAUGGCAACCCACUCUAGUACUCUUGCCUGGAGAAUCCCAUGGACAGAGGAGCCUGGCAGGCUACAGUCCAUGGGGUCGCAAGGAGUCGGACACGACUGAGGUGACUUAGCAUGCAACCAUGUGUAGCAAAUUACCCCAGAUGUAGUGUAGUCCCUUAAAACAACCAGCACUGGUAAUCUCCCAGGUGUCUGAAGGACAGAAUUCUAGAAGGCCUGGCUGGGGCUUCUGGCCUGGGGUCCAUCACAGGCUGCAGUCAAGGCUUCUCUGGGGCCACAGCCCUCUGGUCUGCCUGGGGUGUUGGGGUGGGAGGGGGGUAGGCUCUGCUUCUGGAGGGUUCAUGGGGCUGCGGCAGGGGACGGUCCCUCCCCACCGGGCCUCUCCACCGGGCCUCUCCACCGGGCUGCUCGGGUCAGGCCUUCCCCAGAUCCAGCGAUCUCAGAGAGACAGAGCAGCCCCGAGAUGGAAGCCACAGUGUUUGUCUCGUAACUCAUCUCGAGGUGACACUCCAUCACCACUGCUGUGAUUUUAUGGGUCACACUGGUCACCCCGUGGAGAAGAGAACGGUACCCACGUGGGCCUAGGUUCUUCACGUUCGUGCCGCAUGAGAAGGCUCCAAGGAGUGUCCCUGCCCCUGAGCC
rnacentral:lncRNA from 1 species